rnacentral:rRNA from 1 species
GAUGAACGCUGGCGGCGCGCCUAAUACAUGCAAGUCGAGCGAACUGAUUAGAAGCUUGCUUCUAUGACGUUAGCGGCGGACGGGUGAGUAACACGUGGGCAACCUGCCUGUAAGACUGGGAUAACUUCGGGAAACCGAAGCUAAUACCGGAUAGGAUCUUCUCCUUCAUGGGAGAUGAUUGAAAGAUGGUUUCGGCUAUCACUUACAGAUGGGCCCGCGGUGCAUUAGCUAGUUGGUGAGGUAACGGCUCACCAAGGCAACGAUGCAUAGCCGACGUGAGAGUGUGAUCGGCCACACUGAGACUGAGACACGGCCCAGACUCCUACGGGAGGCAGCAGUAGGGAAUCUUCCGCAAUGGACGAAAGUCUGACGGAGCAACGCCGCGUGAGUGAUGAAGGCUUUCGGGUCGUAAAACUCUGUUGUUAGGGAAGAACAAGUACGAGAGUAACUGCUCGUACCUUGACGGUACCUAACCAGAAAGCCACGGCUAACUACGUGCCAGCCGCCGCCGUAACAC